rnacentral:lncRNA from 1 species
AAGUGUGAGUUUCAGGUUAAAGUUUUCGGUCAAGGUAGUUUUUGAUAAAGCUGAAGUCCAAUCAACUUAAAACUUAGUACACAUGUUCCUUAUGAUAUGAUCUUUCUUAUUUUUAAACCAAAUUAGACUUUUGACCCCAUUUUCAUGGUCCACUGAACAUAGAAAUUAAAAGUGUGAGUUUCAGGUUAAAGUUUUUGGUCAAGGUAGUUUUUGAUGAAGUUUAAGUCCAAUCAACAUGAAACUUAGUACAUAUGUUCCCUAUUGGUUGAUCUUUUUACUUUUAAGGCCAAAUUAGAUUUUUCACCCAAUUUCACGGUCCAUUGAACAUGGAAAAUGAUAAUGUGAGUGGGCAUCUAUGUACUAUGGACACAUUCUUGUUUUAAAAUAGUGUAAUAAAUAAACAUUGUCCAAGCAGUUUUUCAAUCAUUUUGAUUGUUGGUAGCACAGAAGAUGACCUACACUUUUUACUCAGAGUUAAAGCUUUGAAAUUUAUAAUCCAUUUUAAAAAAACAGGUAGGUGUUUCAUUUAAACACAAAAACAUACUAAAAAAUCUUCAGCAAUACUAUUGAUUAGCUUACCAAUGUCAAA